rnacentral:lncRNA from 1 species
CUCGCUUGUUUCACUUCCGCUUCGCCGCCGUACGCCGCUUCCACAACCCCUCUCUUCUCCGCCUCAUCUCCCUUCAUCUUCAGCCCUCGCAGCAAAAAAUCGCGGCGGACCGACGCGUCGCCGAUCUUUUCCCUAAACAACGCGUUGAAGUAAUCGGGGAUUGUCAGCGCUAUGUCCACCUCGGACAUGUAAAGAACCCCUCGGUCUUUCCUCAUAAUGAGGUAAUCGUGAGACAACGCGAGGGCAAAUCCACCGGCAGCGGCGUGACCGGUGAUGGCGGCGACGGUGGGCAUCGGGAGGGACAGAAGAGCCGCGAUGACGGGCCUAAACAAAUCCACCAUGUGGUGUAACCGUUCCGC